rnacentral:ncRNA from 1 species
UAUAAAGGCAAAACUGCCGAAAGGCAGUGACGCAAAGCGGAGAGCCUAAGGUGCUAACGCACUAUGGUCGUCUGGUUGC